rnacentral:rRNA from 1 species
CCUUUAGAUGUCCUGGGCCGCACGCGCGUUACACUGAUGCAUUCAACGAGCUUAUAACCUUGGCCGAGAGGCCUGGGCAAUCUUGUUAACGUGCAUCGUGAUAGGGAUAGAUUAUUGAAAUUAUUAAUCUUGAACGAGGAAUUCCUAGUAAACGCAGAUCAUCAAUCUGCAUUGAUUACGUCCCUGCCCUUUGUACACACCGCCCGUCGCACCUACCGAUUGGAUGGUCCGGUGAAGCCUCGGGAUUGUGGUUCUUGCCGCUUUAUUGUAGCGUGACCGCGAGAACUUGUCUAAACCUUAUCAUCUAGAGGAAGGUGAAGUCGUAACA